rnacentral:rRNA from 1 species
UACGAAGGGGGCUAGCGUUGCUCGGAAUCACUGGGCGUAAAGCGCACGUAGGCGGCUUGCUAAGUCAGGGGUGAAAUCCUGGAGCUCAACUCCAGAACUGCCUUUGAUACUGGCGAUCUUGAGUCCGGGAGAGGUGAGUGGAACUGCGAGUGUAGAGGUGAAAUUCGUAGAUAUUCGCAAGAACACCAGUGGCGAAGGCGGCACACUGGCCCGGUACUGACGCUGAGGUGCGAAAGCGUGGGGAGCAAACAGG